ACGCAUCCGUGACUCAAACAGCCUCAAAUCCACGGCUAGCACACUUCUGCUCCCUGAGUUACACGCUCCAUCUACAGCUAUAAAUCUAAACCGCUGCUGUCCCUACUCGGUCAACGUGUUUGAUGGCGUGUACGAGAAAGUCCCGGGGGGGCCCGGAGCUCACCUUGGCCUCGGUGUGGGGUCUGGCCGGUCGGCAGAGGACCUGGUAGUAGUCCACCACCCCCUCCACGCUCCACAGCAGGGUGAAGGACGAGUGGGUGGUGUUGACGGCGUACAGGGACCGCGGCGGCGCCGGCUCUGGAGGGAGAAGACGGCGGAACGUUAGGAACGUUCAGCGGGAGACGCUUGUACCCACUGUGUCUUACUGAGGCUGAGAGCGUUCAGGAGCAUCUGAUCAAAGCUGGAGAGACGAGACGCAGUGGAACACGACUGCGUUCCCAAACGCUACUGGGAAA